rnacentral:other from 1 species
UGUCUCCUGGGGUGUUCGCCAGUUCAAUAAUGUCCCUGGCCGAUGCUAUUAUUUUAGGGGUUUGAUUCCACUGCUAUUGCGCAUGCUUGACACGUAUCGAGAAGCCUACGGCAAUGAUGAUAGUCCCGCCCUGAACUUUCGGUUCAUAGGGCGACGCUGAACAGCGGCACAUUCGGGAGACAA